GACCUUUUUGUUUUAUUAAAAAUAUUUUGUUUAUGUAUGAUGAAAAUUUUGACAAUUAACUCUUUUUAUAAAAUAAAAUGAGUCAAUUGUCACGAUAUUAAUAGACAACAACUCACUAGGUUACCUCCCUCCACUUAUCAAGACGUAAUGUAAAAUUUAUUAACAGAAUACCAUGAGAUUCCAAAAAUUACGUCAGUGACGAAGGGAGCGCUGUUACUGCGUAGUGGACUUACGGAAUAACUAUUAUUUUAUAAAAAGAGUUAAUUGUCAAAAUUUUCAUCUUACAUAAACAAAAUAUUUUUAAUAAAACAAAAUGGUCCACGUUUGAUUUAAAAAAAAUAUUAAAAAGAAAGAUAAACCGACAGAAACUUAAAAAUAUUAAUUAUGUUUCAGCACGAAACAAGGGAUACCUAACAUCUGGAUAUAUUGUAAAAAAUUUAAGAAUAUUAUCUUAACAAAAAGAUAAAAGAUGAUGUCACGCUAAAAGUGAUUCUCUCAGCAAAUGGGCUACGGAUUCAAAGUAAACAGGAUGGAUAGGUGUUUUAAAUUUUCAAAAUGUUACUAAAGGUAACCAAGCCAUCAGUGGUAGUUGUCAAGAAUGAGGAA